ensembl:lncRNA
AGUCCCUUUAUGAAUAAAUCUUCCACAAACAUACAUAAAAGUACAUCAUUAUUUCCUUUUGAGACUGUCACUAAUUCACUUCCCUGGGAGAACUUAACUUUCUGUAGGUGAGAGACAUAUAAUAAACACAAUUUUAAAAUAAAUUAGAAGGUGAUAAGUAACAUGGAGAAAGAUAAGGCAGAAAAGGGAGAGGGGAAGGCUAGAAGAACAGUGUUGCAAUUUUAAGUCCUGAGAUCAGGGAAGGUCCAACUAAGGAAGUGAUAGUUGAACCAAGAUGAAGGAUCUGAGACUCGAGCCCUGCAGAUAUCUAAGGGACGAGCUUUCCAAGCAGAGGAAACUGCUAAUACAAUGUUGCUGAGACAGGUUCUCAUCUGCUGUGUUUUAGGAGCCAGGAGCAAAGUGAUUAUAAAUGGGGAGUAGUAGGAGACAAAGUCAUAGAAAUGAUACGGCAGAGGAGUGUAGAUGCCAGAUUAUAUAGGCUGUUUUUAAGGACUGGUUUUUGCUCUGAAUAAAAUGCAGAGCCAUUAGAUGGUUUUGGGAAGAGGAGCGAUAUGAUCUGAUUUUAAGUUUUAAAGACAUCAUUCUGGCUGUUGUGCUGAGAAUAGAUCAUGGUGGCAAAGAUGAAUGCAGGGAUUCCAGCUAAAAGUUUCUCGCAUAUUAUUCUGGGUAAGAGAUGAUAGUGGCUUACACCAGAGUGGCAGUGGUAAUGGUGGUGAGAAGUGGCAGAAUUCUGGGUAUAUUUUAAUAGAGCUCCUAGAUUUACUGAUGGAUUGAAAUGAGGCUAAAGAAGGAGUCAGGCAUGAAUCCCAAGGGUUUUGGCCUGAGCAGGUGAAAGGAUAUUGUUGCCAUCAAUUGUAAUGUUGAAAAAAACAAGACUUGUGAAAAAAAAGAUGACAUGUUUCAUUUUGGGCAUGUGUUAACUGGGUCAGGAAGGUCUGAAGUAAGAAAUGGCAACCCACUCCAGUAUUCUUGCCUGGAAAAUUCCAUGGACAGAGGAGCCUGGUGGGCCACAGUCCAUGGGAUUGCAGUGUCAGACACUACUGAGCACGUACAUAUCAUUAUUCAUUGAAAUAGCUGAAAGAUGAUCCAAGUGUAGAUGUUAAUAAGACUUGGAUUAAGAUCUGUAGUUCAGAAAGUGGUCUGGGCUGGAGAUACAAAUUUGGGAGCCAUUAAUAUAGAUAAAAUAUUUAUAAUCAUGAUAUUGGAUAAAAUCACCAAGAAAUUGAUUAUAUAUAUAGAAGAAGAAAUGGAAAAGGAAAUGGCUACUCACUUGAGUAUUCUUGCCUGGGAAAUCUUAUGGACAGAGGAGCCUGGCAGGCUAUAGUCUGUGGGGUUGCAAAGAGUCAGACAUGACUGAGCAACUGAGCACGCAUGCAUAGGAGAAGAAAAGUCAAUGAUUGAGUCUUUUGGGGCACUCGGAUGUUAAAAGUUAAAGAGAUAAGAAACAACAAGCAUAAGAGACAAAGAAGUUUCCAAUAAGGUAGGAUGAAAAC